rnacentral:rRNA from 1 species
AUUGAACGCUGGCGGCAGGCCUAACACAUGCAAGUCGGACGGUAGCACAGAGAGCUUGCUCUCGGGUGACGAGUGGCGGACGGGUGAGUAAUGUCUGGGAAACUGCCCGAUGGAGGGGGAUAACUACUGGAAACGGUAGCUAAUACCGCAUAACGUCUUCGGACCAAAGUGGGGGACCUUCGGGCCUCACACCAUCGGAUGUGCCCAGAUGGGAUUAGCUAGUAGGUGGGGUAAUGGCUCACCUAGGCGACGAUCCUUAGCUGGUCUGAGAGGAUGACCAGCCACACUGGAACUGAGACACGGUCCAGACUCCGACGGGAGGCAGCAGUGGGGAAUAUUGCACAAUGGGCGCAAGCCUGAUGCAGCCAUGCCGCGUGUAUGAAGAAGGCCUUCGGGUUGUAAAGUACUUUCAGCGGGGAGGAAGGCGAUGGAGUUAAUAGCUUCAUCGAUCGACGUUACCCGCAGGAGAAGCACCGGCUAACUCCGUGCCAGCCGCCGCCGUAA